GGGCGUGUAGCUCAGCGGUUAGAGCAAAUGUCUUAUACACAUUAGGCCCCAGGUUCGAAUCCUGGCACGCCCACAA
rnacentral:tRNA from 2 species